UGGGCGUUCCCAUCAUUGUUUUUGUGAAUGCUGGGAAACGUUUCCCAAAAUGAACCCUAGAAGCGCUGGACCCCCUGAUGCCCAACAGCAGUGUGUGUGUGUGUGUGUGUGUGUGUGUAUGUGUGUGUGGAGGAGGAGAAGCUGUACUGACUCAGACUCUCAGCUCUCUGGGCUUCACUGACACCUGCACCAUGAGGAAGGGCUCCUGCUGCAUGUUCACGUCGGGAGUCGUCGGCGCUGUUCUCCUGAUCGUGGGAAUCGGCCUGUUUGUGUCCGGACUCUUCCAGACCUUGAUCCACAACAAGCUGAAGCGGGUAAGAGUCUGUUUUCAACCCAUUCUUCAGCUGUCUUGAGGACUGGCAAGGAUAUUAUAGUGGACUCUUACUUUUUGUGAAUGUCUAGAUACUUUGUCAACUUUUUUUUAAAAUAUUUAAUUUUUUUUAUUGUAUAUAUAUUUUAUAAUAUUUUAUAUGUUGUUAUUAUUGUGAUAUAAUAUUGUAAUAUAUCAUUUUAAAUGAAAGUAAUUAUUUUUAUAAAAUCUAUACUUUAUAUUUUAUAUAUACAUUUAAUAUAUUUACACUGAAACAUAUUUUAAGUGUUUUAAUCUAAUUUUACAUUUUUAUGAUGUAUUCAUUUUUUGUGUUUUUGUACAUUUAACAUUAUGAUUACAUUUUUAGUAUGUGUUAUUAUUUAUUAC
ensembl:lncRNA